CCUACGGGUGGCAGCAGUCGAGAAUCAUUCACAAUGGGGGAAACCCUGAUGGUGCGACGCCGCGUGGGGGAAUGAAGGUCUUCGGAUUGUAAACCCCUGUCAUGUGGGAGCAAAUUAAAAAGAUCGUACCACACGAGGAAGAGACGGCUAACUCUGUGCCAGCAGCCGCGGUAAUACAGAGGUCUCAAGCGUUGUUCGGAAUCACUGGGCGUAAAGCGUGCGUAGGCUGUUUCGUAAGUCGUGUGUGAAAGGCGCGGGCUCAACCCGCGGACGGCACAUGAUACUGCGAGACUAGAGUAAUGGAGGGGGAACCGGAAUUCUCGGUGUAGCAGUGAAAUGCGUAGAUAUCGAGAGGAACACUCGUGGCGAAGGCGGGUUCCUGGACAGUAACUGACGCUGAGGCACGAAGGCCAGGGGAGCGAAAGGGAUUAGAUACCCGAGUAGUC
rnacentral:rRNA from 1 species